GCAUAGAUUAGCAGCCUCCAUGUCGGCCGCAACUUGUCGCUUCCACUUGUUCCGCCGAUUCUGGAACCAAAUCUUCACCUGCGUCUCAGUCAGGUGGAGAGAGGCCGCGAGCCCUGCUCGCUCAGCGCUGCUCAGAUGGAUAGGAUCACAAAACAUCUGCUGGCCAGCCUCAUCCUCUCUCUCAAGCAGAGAUCUUCUUAUGGCGUCCUUCUUUUAAAAGGGAGUGUUCCCUCGUCACCUGACUGCUUGGUGUGGUUAGCAGUCUGGGCUCCAUAAAGGACCUUCAGAUUGGUCUCAGUUGUUAUUGUCGCAAUAUGUAACAAAUAAAAUUAAAUGAAUUUGAGCUUAAA